CGACCGCGUGAGCGAUGAAGGCCUUCGGGUCGUAAAGCUCUGUUGUCAGGGAAGAACAAGUACCGGAGUAACUGCCGGUACCUUGACGGUACCUGACCAGAAAGCCACGGCUAACUACGUGCCAGCAGCCGCGGUAAUACGUAGGUGGCAAGCGUUGUCCGGAAUUAUUGGGCGUAAAGCGCGCGCAGGCGGUUCCUUAAGUCUGAUGUGAAAGCCCCCGGCUCAACCGGGGAGGGUCAUUGGAAACUGGGGAACUUGAGUGCAGAAGAGGAGAGCGGAAUUCCACGUGUAGCGGUGAAAUGCGUAGAGAUGUGGAGGAACACCAGUGGCGAAGGCGGCUCUCUGGUCUGUAACUGACGCUGAGGCGCGAAAGCGUGGGGAGCGAACAGGAUUAGAUACCCUGGUAGUCCACGCCGUAAACGAUGAGUGCUAAGUGUUAGAGGGUUUCCGCCCUUUAGUGCUGCAGCAAACGCAUUAAGCACUCCGCCUGGGGAGUACGGCCGCAAGGCUG
rnacentral:rRNA from 1 species